GCUUGGCAGUGGGCCCCAUCACGAGCCCAUCUCGCAGGCUUGGGACAGAUGGGCUUUGUCAUUGCCCUGGGGAAGUGCUGCCAUUUCUCUUCCAGGCUCAGAGCGGCUCCCCCUGCCUGUCUCGGCUGGCUGACGAGAUGGCAAUUUAAACUGCUCCGGUUACCAGGUUUCAUUAGAUCUUCCGUGAUACUUGAAGGAGCGCCAGACCCAGCUGUCGGUGCCAGUUUCCUAUUGCUGCUUUAACAGAGGACCACAGAUGGAGUGGCUUACAACACAAAUGUAUUAUCCUGCCCUUCUGGAGUGUUGAGGAUAAAAACCUAGGACCUGGGGCAUGC